GGGAUUUUCAUAAUGACAUUGAAAUUAUGUUUGGUGUGGUUGUUCCUUACUGACCCAAAUUCAAGGAGUUUAAAUAUGCCUCCCUUCAAUGUAGAUUGGAUUUAUGUCACUUAUAUGCCAGUUUUAGCAUCUUCUUGGCAAAAUAAAAUAAAAUUAAAAAAAAAAUAUAUAUAUAUAUAUAUAUAAAAAAAAAUCACUUCAAUAAAUGCACAAUUUAAGGAAUAAUUUAUACAGCUCAAACGAUUCAAGACAAGUUAUGUUGUAAAGUUAAAUUUUUAGGAUUAGAGGUUCAAAUGUUAAGCACAGCCAGAAAAACAGCAAGCAAUACAUUGAGCAAACCUCAUAUCUGUAUAGACGCAGUGCUUUGUUCGGCCCAGUUUAAAGCAAACAAGUGCUUCUGUAGAUACAGGCCUCUGUCUUGAGAUUGCAGGUGCACAUACAGCUGCCAGACCUUUGGGAUGAGUUUUAUUUUUUUGUCCUCUUCUCAGCUGUCACUCAAGAUGAUGGGCAGCUGCGGCUGGAGAUGCACAGAGGCUGCUGUCAUCCACCAUCACCAUCACCCUCUUUAACGAUGGAGGUGUGUGCAUCUGACACUCACCGGGGAGAGCGAUUCAGUGAAAUGCUAUACAGAAACUUUGGGGCAGUAAUGAGGAGAUUUGACAUAACUGUAAUAUUAACCAAUGUGCAGCACUGUUUCUGGAUUGGGACACGGUAAAGCAGUGAAAGAGGUGUGGGCCGGCAGCCUGCGGGGUUUUACUGUAACAACAAGAGCACAAUCAGUAUCCUGACAUGAACUCAAGGCAUUGUGGAGCCAUAUGACAGGGACAUGUCUGUCACACCUAAUGGAGCAAAUACCAGAAAUAUCCACCCCACUUUAUUCACCAAGGUAGAAUUGCACCAGCCGUCCAUAAAUGGGGUCAUAAAGUUCAUACUUAUAACUGUUAGUUUGUAACAAAUUGUACUUAAAGGAACAGUUCACCCAAAAAUGAAAAUCUGCUGAAAUAAGUUGAAAUGACAAUUUGCUGAGAUUGCUGAGAAUAGAUUUGGAGAAAUGUAGCAUUACAUCAACUGCUCACCGCUGGAUCCUCUGCAGUGAAUGGGUGCAAUGAAUGCUACAUUUCUCAAAACAUGACAUAUGUAUGAGCAACUUGCUAAAAACCACUCAUCUUAGAAACCUCAUAGCAAUGUUCUGACAACCUACAGCAUCACCAGUGUUAUUGUUAACAAAAACUAAAACUAAAAAUCAUUUUUGUUUACUGAAAUAAAAAUAAAUUAUAUAUAUUAUAUGAAAAACUU
ensembl:lncRNA